AAGAUAGAUAUUCUCUACAUUCCUCAUGGUCAGGCAACACAGCCAGUUGCAGCAGUUGUUACCAUAUUGACCCCAGUCAAAACUAGGAGCUCAGAGAUAAUCAGCCACACAGCCAGUUGCAGCAGUUGUUACCGUAUGACCCCAGUCAAAACUAGGAGCUCAGAGACAAUCAGCAACACAGCAAGUUGCAGCAGUUGUUACCAUAUUGACCCCAGUCAAAACUAAGAGCUCAGAGACAAUCAGCAACACAGCCAGUUGCAGCAGUUGUUACCGUAUGACCCCAGUCAAAACUAGGAGCUCAGAGAUAAAUACUGUUUAAGAUAGAUAUUCUCUACAUUCCUCAUGGUAUGUUAAGCACAAACUCUGACAGAUCUCAUCUUUGAACUUUGUAACGGGCGAAAAAUAAAUGACCUUGUUCAGAAUGAAAUGGCAGAAUGACAAAGCACAACCAUUUAAGGGGAAACCAUAAAUUAAUGUGACCCGCAAAGAUGUGUUCAAAGCAAAACAAUAUGUCAUGUCUUUGGGGACUUUGAAUUUUGAUGGUGUCAUUCAUUAAACAUUUAAUAUUUUUGUUAAAUAUAGUUAAAUAUAAUGAUAUAAAGGAUAUUUGAUUAAGGCGUGUAUGUUAAUUAUUACUUUAAGCACAAAUAUAGCACGUCUAUCAAUUACUUAUGAAACUUGCACCUGAUAAUGAUAAAUGCAUGAAAAUUAAAUUGUACUUAAGACAUUAUUUCAUACCUUGAGCUUAAGAAAAUUGAAAGCUGUUUAAAUUAUGCUGGUAACAUUAUAUACAAAAUAUGUAUUGGAUUAUAUUCAUGUAAAAAACAAGUUUCAGUUUUCUGUUGUAACAUGCAAUAUAGAAGUAUUAUCAAGAAUCGUGUUAAGUAUGGCACUAUUCGAAAUGAAUAUUCAUUAAAUAAAGACAAAAUCAUUUAAUCUUCUUUCAAUUGUCAAUUCUGUAUGUACUACUACUACCUUAUUUAUUUGACUUGAUAUGGUUUGUUAAAUUAUAAGAUAAUGCCUCUUUAUUUGGAAAGCUUUCAAUGUUUUGAAACUGAGUAUUUAAAAAUGAAUUAUUAAAAGAAUUAUGAAAAAUCAUGGCUGAUGUCAAAGUUAUGUUUGAUUUUGCCAAUUUUGUGUUGAUAUUUAAUAUACAUGUACUUACAUGCUCAUAAGUGUUGACAUUUGUUUUUGAACAUAAUAGUUUUUUAUGUUUUAUAUCGUGUAUAUACACAUUUACAAGUCCAAAUUUUCAUCCUCUCAAUCACUCAGUAACUUUACCAACAAUAAAUGUUGGAUCUCUGUAUAUAGGUAAAUUGUGCAAUUGAUAUAUAGAGCAACUGCAACAAAUCAGUCAGUUACAAAUCAAGGCAGAGUGAUGUAAUAUGCUGGCAAUUGUUAAGUAGUGCAGUUGGCUCUUUUUGUUCUCAGGUUAGAGCAAUGUUGUUUGCUUCAAAAAUAAAAACACAGUCUCCCUUGUAAGAAAAUUAAUGUGUUCACAUCUCAACAUAACAAGUAAAUUCAUAGAGAAAAUCAAAUUAUUUACAUGAUAUACUCGACAAUUAGUCUAAUGGAAUUUGUAGAAUAAAAAAUAACAUGUAAUUAUGACGAUUAUAAGUGAAUGUUUGACACAAAAUGUCUCUUCAGAAAUGUGUAUAUUUUAAUGAUAAAUCUAUACAUUGUACUUGCUGUACUUUUUAUAGUAUAUUUUAUGAACUUGCAGCUGAUAAGUGAAUGUGACAAUUUACGAGUUAUGUUACAAUUUGUUACACGUUGACAUGGCCACAUAAGCUGUUUAUGGAGUGCAUUCACUGCGGCCAGUUUCCAGAAAUCUCCCAAUUAAAAAACACCAGAAAAUAUCUUAAGGUCAGAUAGUUUGGUUGUUGACAUUAGUUUUGAUUUAUUUAUUGAUUGUGUUAUGCCUUGUUCUCUUAAUUUGUUAUCAAAUAUUUAAGUUUAUAUGACUUGAAGAGACUUACAUGUUUAUGUUAUUGAUGUGUUUGUGCUGAUUUCUUGCAUUCUAAUUAAAGAAUAUUCAAGUGGAAAAAGAAUAUUGUUGUGCAUUGAAAGUGUGUUGUGAUUUCAAAUAAAAAUACUAUGAAAAUAUAGUUAAGUCGUUUGAUUACAAAGUUAUUACAAAGGUGAUCAAUUGGUUAUCAAGUGUAGGUGUUUGCAUACGGACAUAAUAUGUUUGUGCUUUAUAUGUAUAUAAUGUAGAUCCCCAUUUACCAGAAAAUAUUUUGAUGUGCUUAAAUGUGCUAAUAGCCUGAUGAAAUUCGUGUUGACUAUGCGUUUUACAUUUUGCCAUUUUUAUUUAAAAACUGAAAAACAAAUGAUUUGUCAGUGAAAAUAAAUACUGUAUUGUUGUUCAAUCAGUUAAACUAUUUCACUGUUUUCAUGCAUAUGUUCAAAUCAUUUUCAUUUUUGUUCAAUCUUUAAGAUGCAACGCUUGUGUAAUUUACUUUAUGAAACUUAUAUAUACACAAAAAUGUAGUACAGAUGUAUAUCAAAUGACUGCUGUGGGCUUGUUGUAAACAGAAAACCAUGCUUUAAAUUGAAAAAACCUUGUUAUAUGCCAUGUUUUUCAUUUAAUAAUAUUAAAAGCACCUUUGAAAUUGAACUUCUUGAAAAUAUGUUUCGUUGUUUUGUAAAAAUAUCUUAAGUUAUCUAUUCUAAAUUAUCUAUUCUUAUAUAAGAAAUACAAAUUAAAAUUGGUUAUUGGAAAUAAGUCAAUUAAAAGUCAAGGGAUAAUGAUGUAAUGUACUUAAAAAUGUCAAAACUGCUAUUGUCUCUAUUUGUAUUCUAGAUAUGUUAUAUCCUUAAACAAACAAAUACAAUGUUGUCUCCUUGUUGAAUAGGUGUUGUGUACCUCUGAACAUGUCAAGUCAUUUACUUUAAGUAUUUUAAAUUAGUUCUCACUAUCUGCAACCGUAAGUCACUCAUGAAUUUUGUGUAAUAAACAUUGGAUAAAUAUAUUUUUAUAUAAUCGAUUAUAAGAUAAGGUGAAUAGUGUAUGUGCGUUAUUAGUUAUAAACAUUGGAUAAAUAUAUUUUUAUAUAAUCGAUUAUAAGAUAAGGUAAAAAGUGUAUGUGCGUUAUAAGAAAUAAACAUUGGAUAAAUAUAUUUUUAUAUAAUCGAUUAUAAGAUAAGGUGAAAAGUGUAUGAGCGUUAUUAGUAAUAAACAUUGGAUAAAUAUAUUUUUAUAUAAUCGAUUACAAGAUAAGGUGAAUAGUGUAUGUGCGUUAUUAAAUUCAUCAGGUAUGACCAUACUGUGCUACAAGUUUUGUAAUUGUGACUAUUAAAAGUACAUGAUCUGCAAAAAAUGUCACUUAAACAAAUGUGUAUAUGUUUAUCAUUAUUAAAUUCUUUCCAACUA